rnacentral:rRNA from 1 species
CAGCAGCCACGGUAAUACGAAGGGGGCUAGCGUUGCUCGGAAUGACUGGGCGUAAAGGGCGCGUAGGCGGUUUGUACAGUUGGAUGUGAAAUUCCUGGGCUUAACCUGGGGGCUGCAUUCAAUACGUGCAGGCUUGAGUGUGGAAGAGGGUUGUGGAAUUCCCAGUGUAGAGGUGAAAUUCGUAGAUAUUGGGAAGAACACCGGUGGCGAAGGCGGCAACCUGGUCCAUUACUGACGCUGAGGCGCGAAAGCGUGGGGAGCAAACAGGAUUAGAUACCCCAGUAGUCCCUGUCUCUUAUAA